CCCGGGGUCGCGACAUCCAGGCUUCCCAGUCCCGCCCCGAGAAUCCUGCCCUCCUAAGAGCCACGAAUCGUUUUGUCCCCACCAACAGGUUCCGCGGACGUGAAUCGCAGACAGGUGCCUUGAGUGAAGGUCGGUGGCCAUCAACGCCCUCCGCUGAAUCCAGUGAUAUAGAGUGGUCUCUACCAGCAGCGAGUUUUGGCACCUGUUGAAGUUGCACAGCCGCCCCGCCCACCCGGGCCCCGCCCACCUUGGCCUGCCCCGCCCACCUUGGCCGGCCCCUGCCCGGGCCGACUCCCCGCCUACAGCGCAAGCUCCGCGCGCAGGCGCAGAAGGAACUCACUGGCCUGUUCGGUGGCUGCAGGAGGAGCUCGGGCUCUGCGGCGGUCCUGGGGUAAUGAAAGUCUAAGCGUAACUGAGUCAUUGUGAAGAGUGGAAAAGAUCAUUCAUGUGACGGGCAAGCACAUCAGACCCUCCAGUAGGUAUUGCUCUUCUAUAGAGAUCAGUGCAGGCAGACGUCCGUGGCUCUCAGUUCUUGUGGAAUGCAGUAGUCCCAUGUGAGGAGGAGACAGAGAAGACUGGAAGCCUGCCACCCUGUCAGCAUGCCUCUCUCAGAUCCAGAAUAGAAACCCAAAGCUGGAAUAUGGUGGCCUCAUGAGGCUAGUGGCAGGGCUGCCCACAGGACCUGGAAGGCACACCACAACCCCACCUGCUGGCUCAGCACGAAUUUCUCUGCUCUAGCUGCAGAGCACCAACCAAGGGUGCAGGAUUCCCCAGAGCCAACGAAAGAACCAGGGAGGACCAAAAGCUAAGUACCUGUGUGAAGGGCAUUGUCGUUGUAAAGACUAGAGCUCUGGAGGUGUCACGGAGGUGUGAGGAGCACCCAGACAGAGGGAUGCUGCCCAGAGCCGCAGUAGAAGAGGGGGGCAGGAGGUGUGUUCCAGGGAAGGGAAGGCCUGGCUGCAGCCUCGUCCAAGUGGGAGAUCAGAGAGCCUGUGCAGCUUUCAGAUGACGAGGCAGCCAUCCUGGGGAAGCCAGUGCCACCGUGGCCAAGGACUUUGCAUCUUGGCUGGCUGACUCUCAGAUACACAAUCGGGAACAGACACGAGGGACUGAUUAGGAAACUGCAAUGCUCUGGGGAUCAGAAGCAUGAAAAGGAAAAUCUGUUCAAGUGUUUGUAAAUGGAAUGUGCCUAUCACUAUGGUUUUUGUACCCUACAGACCUCAGGAGUAACUUGUAGAUGGGCCCAGGUAAAACCUGUUUUCAGAAAUC